rnacentral:rRNA from 1 species
UGCCAGCAGCCGCGGUAAUACGAAGGGGGCUAGCGUUGUUCGGAAUUACUGGGCGUAAAGCGCACGUAGGCGGAUGAUUAAGUUAGAGGUGAAAGCCCGGGGCUCAACCCCGGAAUAGCCUUUAAUACUGGUCAUCUUGAGAUCGGAAGAGGAGAGUGGAAUUCCCAGUGUAGAGGUGAAAUUCGUAGAUAUUGGGAAGAACACCAGUGGCGAAGGCGGCUCUCUGGUCCGAUACUGACGCUGAGGUACGAAAGCGUGGGGAGCAAACAGGAUUAGUUA